GAUGGCCGGUUCUUGGAAUCGUGAUACUUGCUGCGGUUGUCGUCGGAAGUCAAGCUAUCAUCACCGGGACGUUUUCUAUUAUCAAACAGUGUUCGGCAUUGGGUUGUUUCUCGAAGGUCAAAAUAAUCGACACAUCGCCUACUAAUAAGCACGAUCAAAUCUACAUUCCCGAGAUCAAUUGGACUUUGAUGCUUAGCCAUCACAACCGGUUUUCGUGACACCAAACAUAUAAGCAAUGCAGCAGAUAUAAAGCGGCCAAUGGGGUUGUACU
rnacentral:lncRNA from 1 species